GUGAGAUAAUUUGAUUGAUAUGUUGAUCAUAUGUGAGGUACCAUAAUUAAUAGCAUGUUAGAAUUCUAAAGACA